UUUUUGGAGAGUUUGAUCCUGGCUCAGGACGAACGCUGGCGGCGUGCCUAAUACAUGCAAGUCGAGCGCGGGAAGCGUCCGGACCCCUUCGGGGCGAAGGGCGCGGACCGAGCGGCGGACGGGUGAGUAACACGUGGGCAACCUGCCUGUCAGACGGGGAUAACUCCGGGAAACCGGAGCUAAUACCGGAUAGGCUUUCGCACCGCAUGGUGCGGAAGGGAA
rnacentral:rRNA from 1 species